CACACCUUCCUGUGGAAAGCCACAAAAUCAGCACCAAUUAGCAUUUAAUUAUCAAGAAUUAGAACAUUUACAGACUGUGAAAAACAUUUCAUCUUUACAAAUUCUGCCUCCCUCAGGUGAUUCUGAGCAGCUUUCGAAUGGCAUAACUGUGAUGCAUCCACCUGGUGAUAAUGACACAACUAUGUUAGAAUUUGAAUGUCAAGAUCCUGUGCAGAAGGAUGUAAAGAUUAAGAAUGCAGAUUCAUGGAAAAGUUUAGGCAAACCAGUGAAACCAUCAGGUAUACUGAAGUCCUCAGGUGAGCUCUUCAACCAAUUUAGAAAAGCAGCCAUAGAAAAGGAAGUAAAAGCUCAGACCCAGGAACUGUACGGAGACAUUUGGAACAAAAGACAAAGGAACCAAAAGCAUCUCAAGAAAAUCAGAGGGAUCUGGGAAAUUAAUUGACUGUAGAAUCUUUUUCAGAUAAAAUGCAAAACAAGUGCUAUGGAGAAGAGCAGAAAGAACAUAUGCAGUCAUUGGAAGCUCAAGAUAAAUGCAAACUCUGGUUUCUCAAAGACCGUAAUUUAACACGGGAGAAAGCACAAGAGUGGAGAAGGAGAGAAGCAAUGGCAGGUACCAUUGGUAUGACUUCAAAGAGACAUUAUGACAAUGUUUGAAAACAACUUUGAUUAAAACUCAGUUUUUAAAUUAACCGUCAACUUAAAAUGAAUGGUAAAAGAUCAAAAUGCAUAUGGUAAAAUGAUUGCUUUCAGAUAACAAGAUACCAAUCUUAUAUUGUAGUUUGACCACUCUAAAAUGAUUAAAUGGUUUUCACUUACA